AUUGAACGCUGGCGGCAUGCUUUACACAUGCAAGUCGAACGGUAACAGGCCGCCAGGUGCUGACGAGUGGCGAACGGGUGCGUAAUGCAUCGGAACGUGCCCAGUCGUGGGGGAUAACUACUCGAAAGAGUAGCUAAUACCGCAUACGAUCUAUGGAUGACAGCGGGGGACCGUAAGGCCUCGCGCGAUUGGAGCGGCCGAUGUCAGAUUAGGUAGUUGGUGGGGUAAAGGCUCACCAAGCCAACGAUCUGUAGCUGGUCUGAGAGGACGACCAGCCACACUGGAACUGAGACACGGCCCAGACUCCUACGGGAGGCAGCAGUGGGGAAUUUUGGACAAUGGGCGCAAGCCUGAUCCAGCAAUGCCGCGUGCAGGAAGAAGGCCUUCGGGUUGUAAACUGCUUUUGUACGGAACGAAACGGCUCUGGUUAAUACCCGGGGCUAAUGACGGUACCGUAAGAAUAAGCACCGGCUAACUACGUG
rnacentral:rRNA from 1 species